GUGCCAAGCUUGUUGGUGGUCAGAGACAGACGUUUCCAGCCCUGUGCUGAUCGCCUGCCUUCCUCCUGCCAUUUAGAAUAAUACAGCCCCUGCUUCUGUCUCAUGUACUUACUCUAAAGGACCCUGGAAGAGGGAGUGGUUCAUCAUAGCUGCAAACAAGGGCGCUAAGAUUUUUUUUUUUUUUAAGAAUUGCGUUUUAUAGGUAUGUCUGAGCGAUGCAAGGGACUGUGAACGACUUUCAGAGAGAAUGUUUGUGAACACAUUUGGUGUGUACUAAAAAGCUGGAAACCCCUAAAUAAAUGCAGUAUCGAUAGAAAGCGAGUUUCUUGAAGAGUCACCUGCUUAACUCCACUAGCGUCAUCUCUACAGCACACCUCAUUUUAUAGCCCUUCGCAGAUGCUGCAUGUUUUACAAGUUGAAGGUUUGUGGGCACCCCACAUCAAGCAAAUCAUCUAUCGGAGCCAGUUUUCCAACAGCAUUUGCUCACUUCAUGUCAUCGGGUCACAUUUUGGGACUGAAACGUGGAUGUGGCAGAAGUUCAUCAUCAACCGUCUUGAGGAAGGCAACUUCUGGGAGAAAGGUGGAGUAUUCCAUGGGGAGAAAACGAAGCCGUAGGAAACAAAUCGCAGAGCAAAGCCUCACUUGCCUAGGCUCUUUGGACUUUAAUUGUUCCAUGUGCAUGAGCUAAACUUCCAUUAACCUAAGGCAUUGUUUUUUUUUUUGUUUGUUUGUUUUCCAGCAGUUCAGUCUAUCAUAAUAAAACUGCUUGGGAAAAUAUGGGCUGAUUGCUAUUUUUUUUAUUGCUAUUCUUUU